rnacentral:rRNA from 1 species
GAUGAACGCUGGCGGCGUGCCUAAUACAUGCAAGUCGAGCGAAUGGAUUAAGAGCUUGCUCUUAUGAAGUUAGCGGCGGACGGGUGAGUAACACGUGGGUAACCUGCCCAUAAGACUGGGAUAACUCCGGGAAACCGGGGCUAAUACCGGAUAACAUUUUGAACCGCAUGGUUCGAAAUUGAAAGGCGGCUUCGGCUGUCAGUUAUGGAUGGACCCGUGUCGCAUUAGCUAGUUGGUGAGGUAACGGCUCACCAAGGCAACGAUCCGUAGCCGACCUGAGAGGGUGUUCGGCCACACUGGGACUGAGACACGGCCCAGACUCCUACGGGAGGCAGCAGUAGGGAAUCUUCCGCAAUGGACGAAAGUCUGACGGAGCAACGCCGCGUGAGUGAUGAAGGCUUUCGGGUCGUAAAACUCUGUUGUUAGGGAAGAACAAGUGCUAGUUGAAUAAGCUGGCACCUUGACGGUACCUAACCAGGAAGCCACGGCUAACUACGUGCCAGCCGCCGCAGUAA